rnacentral:tRNA from 1 species
ACUUAAAUAGUUUAAUAAAAUAUUGAUUUGUGGUGUCAAAGAUACAAGAGGUUGUUUUAGGUA